AAUAAAUUUGUUAGUCUCUAAGGUGCCACAAGUACUCCUUUUCUUUUUGCGAAUAUUUAUACCAUUAUUUACAAUAACUCUGGAUAUUCUUAUUAUCCAUAUAAUUCUCUAGUCUCUUAUUGAAUCUUAAUAAGUUCUUGGCCUCAACAACUUCCUGUGGAAAUGAGUUUGAGAAUUACACAUAAUGUGAAAAAUAUUUCCUUUUAUUGGUUUUAAUUUUCCCACUUUUUAAUUUAAUUGAAUGGCCCCUUAUUAUCUUAUGAGACAGGGAGAACAGAAGCUCCCAAACUGCCUUCUCUAGACCAUUAAUAAUUGUAUGUUUUUUAUCUCAUUCCCUUUUAUUCAUGUCUUUUCUAUGCCACACAAUCACAGUCUUUCUAAUCUCUUUUCCUAAGAGAGCUUUUUCAUGCCCUUGAUCAUUCUGGUCACUUUUCUUUGAACCUAUGGAAUGCAUCCGAUGAAGUGAGCUGUAGUUCACGAAAGCUUAUGCUCAAAUAAAUUUGUUAGUCUCUAAGGUGCCACAAGUACUCCUUUUCUUUUUGCAAAUACAGACUAACACGGCUGCUACUCUGAAACCUAUUCCAAGUCUGCAAUGGUCUUUUAGAGAUGAGGAGACCAGCACUACACUCAGUAUUCCAGCUAAGGCCACAUCAUUGAUAUAUAAUAUUCUUUGUAUUGUUCAUCAUCUCAUUCCUGUGCAUCUAAUGUUUUGUUAGCUUUUUUGACUGUAGCUGCACAUUGAGCAGAGGUCUUCAUUUAGUUGUUUACCAAGACACUCAGGACAAAUAUAGAUAAUACUGUGAGAAGAAUGUUUGAAUGCUGCUUCUGUUGUGGAGUAGAGAGACGUUGAGGCAAUAUUAUGUAUAACUAAGACUCUUCACCUUCUUCCUGCACCUCAGUUUAAUUAUUUGCUAAAGCACAGGCCAGGAUUCUGUCUCUUCAGAAGGCAUCUCGUGGACUUAAACUUAAGAGCUGUUAUAUAUAGGAUCCUGAUAAAUAAGUGUUAAUAAUUCCUAGUCAGCUUUGGAGUAUCAUACUGUUUCUUAGUAAAUAAAAAUUAAUGUACACAGAAAAAAUGUAAAUAGUAUUUGGAAUACUAUGAAUAACUAUUAAAAAAACCCUGUUGGGUAAUAUAGCUACAGUUAUUCCUUACACAGACUUUGCCACUUUUAUUUCAUUUAAAUAUAUUUAAAUAUAAGCUUCCAAUAUAAUAUUUACACACACUUUAGCACAUGCAUAUAAACAUUCCCCUCUGAUCUUCUACAGAGAUAAUUUCUCAGUCUUUAUAAUGUGCUCAUAGUAUCUAUUGUGUGGCACCUGGACUCGUCAGAGCUUGAGAAGAAUGGCAGCAUCUAGGAGUCUGAAUAUGCCAAAUCUCAUGGACAGAUGACUUAUCCCUAUCACUGAGUUGACAUAAAUGUGGCUAUUAUUCCUUAUUCAGUAUACAAAUAUUACUCCCACUGAUGCUAAUGGGAGAGACACGCACACAUGGGGACAUUUCAGCUGUUUUCUUGAUUAAGAGCCAUCCUAUAAUGGGGGAUCUUCAUUUCUCUUUCAUUUGAAUUAACAGUCAACAGUAACUAGAAGUGUUCGUUGCCAGAGGAGACGCAGGCAACAAGCAGCUCAAGAGUACAACUGCAUUUUCUCAACAAGCCUUUGAAGGUAUUAGUGGCACCUAUUAGUGGCACCCUUAAACAUGUCAGUGGAGAGAAGCUUAUUUGGCUUCACUCACAUUAUUAGGGGUUUACAAAUUCUGCUGUUAUUUCACCAUUUGUGAGAUUACUGCUGGCUGGGAAAUUACAAUAAAACCAAAGUUGAUAGUCUUCCUGUUGUGAGAGAACUGGAUUAUAAACUAAAUUAAAACAAAACAACUAUAAAUGUGAGCAGACUGGAUGCAGCACUUGUCUUUAUAGCUUAUUGUUAAUUUAAUUAUUGUUGUAUGAGUGUAAUUCCCAUUAGGGAAUAAGAUACUGUAACC